CACCUACAAUAGCGAGCCUGUAUGGCUG
rnacentral:sRNA from 1 species